rnacentral:rRNA from 1 species
UACGUAGGGGGCUAGCGUUGUCCGGAUUUAUUGGGCGUAAAGAGCGUGUAGGCGGCUAGAUAGGUCCGUUGUGAAAACUCGAGGCUCAACCUCGAGACGUCGAUGGAAACCAUCUGGCUAGAGUCCGGAAGAGGAGAGUGGAAUUCCUGGUGUAGCGGUGAAAUGCGCAGAUAUCAGGAAGAACACCCGUGGCGAAGGCGGCUCUCUGGUACGUGACUGACGCUGAGACGCGAAAGCGUGGGGAGCAAACGGG